rnacentral:rRNA from 1 species
GAUGAACGCUGACAGAAUGCUUAACACAUGCAAGUCUACUUGAACUUCGGUUUGGGUGGCGGACGGGUGAGUAACGCGUAAAGAACUUGCCUCACAGUUAGGGACAACAUUUGGAAACGAAUGCUAAUACCUGAUAUUAUGAUUUUAGGGCAUCCUAGGAUUAUGAAAGCUAUAUGUGCUGUGAGAGAGCUUUGCGUCCCAUUAGCUAGUUGGGGAGGUAACGGCUCACCAAGGCGAUGAUGGGUAGCCGGCCUGAGAGGGUGAACGGCCACAAGGGGACUGAGACACGGCCCUUACUCCUACGGGAGGCAGCAGUGGGGAAUAUUGGACAAUGGACCAAAAGUCUGAUCCAGCAAUUCUGUGUGCACGAUGACGUUUUUCGGAAUGUAAAGUGCUUUCAGUUGGGAAGAAAAAAAUGACGGUACCAACAGAAGAAGUGACGGCUAAAUACGUG